ACGGGAGGCAGCAGUGGGGAAUAUUGCACAAUGGGCGCAAGCCUGAUGCAGCGAUGCCGCGUGAGGGAAGAAGGUUUUCGGAUUGUAAACCUCUGUCAACAGGGACGAAAAUGACGGUACCUGUGAAGGAAGCUCCGGCUAACUACGUGCCAGCAGCCGCGGUAAUACGUAGGGAGCAAGCGUUAUCCGGAAUUACUGGGCGUAAAGCGCAUGUAGGCUGUACGGUAAGUCAGUGGUGAAAUCCCUGGGCUCAACCUGGGAACUGCCAUUGAAACUGCCGAACUGGAGUGUGAGAGAGGAUAGCGGAAUUCCAGGUGUAGGAGUGAAAUCCGUAGAUAUCUGGAAGAACAUCAGUGGCGAAGGCGGCUAUCUGGCUCAUUACUGACGCUGAGAUGCGAAAGCGUGGGUAGCAAACAGGAUUAGAUACCCUGGUA
rnacentral:rRNA from 1 species